AUGCACCCCUCUGGAGUGGCAGGAGGAGGAGAUGCCAUCUCCAGAAAGAAGUCCUCCCACUGCCCUGACACCCAAGCGAUGAGCCGUCCUGUCUUGGAAAGCAGCCCGGUCCUGGGGACAGGCACACAGCAGGAGGGAUGGGAUGUGUGCCGCUCCAGAGGCCAUGAGCAGAUUAGGCUGGAAAGCAAGCAUCUUCAUAUUCCUAAAGAAAGACUUCUGUCCUCAUUAGAAAGCACAAUAUAAGAAAGUCUGCGGCUGUGAUGCACUUUUUUUUGUUAUUAAGGCUAAAUAACUAAGACAAGGUUUUUAUUUAAACCUCGGCCACGGCCAUACAUCAUGAACUUGCCACGCAGUUUUUCUUGUAGUAGGAUAGACACUUCCCUGCCCCCGACCCCAGGUCCAUCCCCUCCAUAAGGAAAACUCAUUCAAGGUCUGUUUGUUGGGUUUGUUUUUUUUAAGAACAAGCAAGUAUGUGUUCCAACCUGUACACAGAAGAACAUGUAUUUAUUCUCCAGCAGAUCCCCUCAUUCACUGCUGAGCAUCUACUUUGUGGGUGGCACGGGGCCAAGACUGAGACUGUGGGUAAAGGAAGCUGCAUAGCAUCGCAGGGAGGAAGGCUCGCGCCCAUCCACAGUGCACCGUGAUCGCCGGCUACACAGGCGGGUGCAGAGCGUCUGCAGGACUAAGAGGGAAUGAUUAAUUCUGCCUGAGGGUUUCGAGGGAGCCUCCAGGAGGCAUGUGUGUUUGCCUCAUUCACUGUGGGCUUCCAGGUAGGACUCCCCCAGGCAGUACAGAAGCUGCCUGCUGAGAUCCCAGAGAUCUCAUUUGCACACACCCAUCUAUCUAUCUGGCUUCUGUUCAUGCCCAGUAAAGAAAAGGAGACAUCCCUAUUAAGGAUGGUAGUUUUUAUUUUGAAGCUUCCUAGGAGGCUGAGGCCCUCAGCAGACUUUAAACAUCUCCGUCUCUGAGCUUCCACCUCUGACCACAACCAAGCCCCUCAUGCUUCCCAAUCACUCAUUCCUAAACAACCUGUGGGCCAGGUCAAGAGAGGACGAUGCAACCCUGGAAAAGACAAGGAGGGGUCCUGCGUGUUGGGAGGCUAGCUGGAGGCAAAGAGAAAGGUACAGCAAUAUAAAUAAGCUAGGCUCUCCUGUGGCCCUCUGAGUCUUUGAAUCAGUUACCCUGAGCCCUCUGUCUUUUGGGGAUGCCUCCCAGGAAAUAGGUCACAGCUCCCUCACCCUCUUGCCAGCUAUCUUUUGAAAGAACUGUGAAUUUUAACAACGCAUCUCAGACAGAGGCCCUACAGGCUGCGCACAGUGCACCCCGAGCAGGCGCUCACAGGGUGGAGCAUGGGGAGCGCACCCUAGGCCUCAAACCCUGGAGGCCUCCUUAGCACGGGUCUGGGCCAGGCCGAGGUGGUGGUCAGCCUAACCCCAAGUCCUCCACCAGUCAGGCCUCCCAUGCUCUGUUUAUGUAAUUGACUUUUUAGAACUCUAGAUGCAGGACUCUUCCUUUGCUGGUGGUUAAUUCCAUCUUGUUGGUGUGGGCCUAUUGUUCUGCCUAUUGAUCACUCCCUGCUCACCCGGUGGGGUAGCUUCUUUCCCCUCUGAGCCUCAUAUCAAUUGGAUAAUCCGCCUUCUGUCUCCUCCCCUGAGCCAUCGAUACAUACGCCAACCAGAACUGGCCCAAGGGUGACACCAGAGACCCAAGGGAAGGGCUCAGUUAAUAUCUGUCACAUGAUUAAGAAGUACCUGACUAAAGCAACAGAUGAAUGUGACCUCUCUCCAGGCCCACCCUGAUCUGUAAUCAAUGCUCCAGGUCCAAUUGUUCAACCAGCUCUAUAUCCA
rnacentral:lncRNA from 1 species